rnacentral:rRNA from 1 species
ACGUAGGUGGCAAGCGUUAUCCGGAAUUACUGGGCGUAAAGCGCACGCAGGUGGCUAUCUAAGAUUGACGUGAAACCUUCUGGCUUAACUGGAAGACGUCGUUGGUGACUGGAUGGCUUGAGGUGAGGAGAGGGGUGCAGAAUUCCCGGUGUAGUGGUGUAAUGCGUAGAUAUCGGGAGGAAUACCAGUGGCGAAAGCGGCACCCUGGCCUUGGCCUGACGCUCAGGUGCGAAAGCGUGGGGAGCGAACGGGAUUAGAUACCCCGGUAGUCCACGCCAUAAACGAUGAACACUAGGUGUAGGUGGUGUCAAAACCAUCGGUACCGAAGCCAACGCGAUAAGUGUUCCGCCUGGGGAGUACGACCGCAAGGUUA